CCUACGGGUGGCAGCAGUGCGGAAUAUUGGUCAAUGGGCUUACGCCUGAACCAGCCAAGUCGCGUGAGGGAAGACUGCCCUAUGGGUUGUAAACCUCUUUUGUCAGGGAGCAACGCCGGCUACGUGUAGCCGGACUGCUAGUACCUGAAGAAAAAGCAUCGGCUAACUCCGUUACAGCAGCCGCGGUAAUACGGAGGAUGCGAGCGUUAUCCGGAUUUAUUGGGUUGAAAGGGUGCGUAGGCGGAAUGCCAAGUCAGCGGUAAAAUGGGGGGGCUCAACCUCGCUCCGCCGUUGAAACUGGCGUGCUUGAGUGGGCGAGAAGUAGGCGGAAUGCGUGGGGUAGCGGUGAAAUGCAUAGAUAUCACGAAGAACUCCGAUUGCGAAGGCAGCAUACCGGCGCCCAACUGACGCUGAGGCACGAAAGCGUGGGUAUCGAACAGGAUUAGAUACCCCAGUAGUC
rnacentral:rRNA from 1 species